CGUGACUGCGGAGGACAUUAUUGAGUUUUUUUGAACGGGUUGUAGCUGGCCUUUUACGGGGCAUGUGCACGCCUGGCUCAUCCACUCUCUCAACCUCUGUGCACUUUUUGUAGGAACGGACAAUUUUUAUUUUUAUUUCUGAAGCUGACUUUUAUAAAGUUAGUGGAAGAAAGAAGAAGUAGAAAAAAUCCUUUCUACGUUUUUAAUACAAACGCUUCAGUUAUAGAAUGUUUACUUGCAGAUAAUGCAUUUAUAUACAACUUUCAGCAACGGAUCUCUUGGCUCUCGCAUCGAUGAAGAACGCAGCGAAAUGCGAUAAGUAAUGUGAAUUGCAGAAUUCAGUGAAUCAUCGAAUCUUUGAACGCACCUUGCGCUCCUUGGUAUUCCGAGGAGCAUGCCUGUUUGAGUAUCAUGGAAUUCUCAACUCCUAAAUUUAUUUUUAGUGAGCUUGGAUUUGGAGGCUGUGUCGGCUUUUUAUUGAGUCGACUCCUCUGAAAUGCAUUAGCGUGAAUGUUAUGGAUCGCCUUCAGUGUGAUAAUUGUCUACGCUGUGGUUGUGAAAUAAAAAUAUAUAUUCAUGCUUACAAUCGUCUCCUAGAGACAAUUUUAUGACUUCUGAUCUCAAAUCAGGUAGGACUACCCGCUGAACUUAAGCAUAUCAAUAAGCGGAGGAA
rnacentral:rRNA from 1 species